AUUUUACUGUUUUUAUCCAAAUUUUAAUUGGGGAUAUUUUAUUGUUUUUACUGGAACAAACUGAGAGUGAGGUGACUCAGCUUGCAUGUGAAGCUCUGUAACAUGCUUUUAAUUGUAAAGUAUUUUAUUUGUUUUUAUCCAAAUUUUAAUUGGGGAUAUUUUAUUGUUUUUACUAGAACAAACUGAGAGUGAGGUGGCUCAGCCUGCAUGUGAAGCUCUGUUACAUGCUUUUAAGCGGAAAAAAGUAUUUUAUUUGUUUUUAUCCAAAUUUUAAUUGGGGAUAUUUUACUGUUUUUAUCCAAAUUUUAAUUGGGGAUAUUUUACUGUUUUUAUCCAAAUUGUAAUUGGGGAUAUUGUACUGUUUUUAUCCAAAUUUUAAUUGGGGAUAUUUUAUUUUUUUUACUGGAACAAACUGAGAGUGAGGUGGCUCAGCCUGCAUGUGAAGCUCUGUAACAUGCUUUUAAUUGUAAAGUAUUUUAUUUGUUUUUAUCCAAAUUUUAAUUGGGGAUAUUUUACUGUUUUAACCAAAUUUUAAUUGGGGAUAUUUUAUUGUUUUUAUCCAAAUUUUAAUUGGGGAUAUUUUAUUGUUUUUACUAGAACAAACUGAGAGUGAGGUGGCUCAGCCUGCAUGUGAAGCUCUGUAACAUGCUUUUAAUUGUAUAUUUUAUUUGUUUUUAUCCAAAUUUUAAUUGGGGAUAUUUUAUUGUUUUUACUGGAACAAACUGAGAGUGAGGUGACUCAGUCUGCAUGUGAAGCUCUGUAACAUGCUUUUAAUUGUAUAUUUUAUUUGUUUUUAUCCAAAUUUUAAUUGGGGAUAUUUUACUGUUUUUAUCCAAAUUUUAAUUGGGGAUAUUUUAUUGUUUUUACUAGAACAAACUGAGAGUGAGGUGGCUCAGCCUGCAUGUGAAGCUCUGUAACAUGCUUUUAAGGGGAAAAAAGUAUUUUAUUUGUUUUUAUCCAAAUUUUAAUUGGGGAUAUUUUACUGUUUUUAUCCAAAUUUUAAUUGGGGAUAUUUUACUGUUUUUAUCCAAAUUUUAAUUGGGGAUAUUUUAUUGUUUUUACUGGAACAAACUGAGAGUGAGGUGGCUCAGCCUGCAUGUGAAGCUCUGUAACAUGCUUUUAAUUGUAAAGUAUUUUAUUUGUUUUUAUCCAAAUUUUAAUUGGGGAUAUUUUACUGUUUUUAUCCAAAGUUUAAUUGGGGAUAUUUUACUGUUUUUAUCCAAAUUUUAAUUGGGGAUAUUUUACUGUUUUUAUCCAAAUUUUAAUUGGGGAUAUUUUAUUGUUUUUACUAGAACAAACUGAGAGUGAGGUGGCUCAGCCUGCAUGUGAAGCUCUGUAACAUGCUUUUAAGGGGAAAAAAGUAUUUUAUUUGUUUUUAUCCAAAUUUUAAUUGGGGAUAUUUUACUGUAUUUAUCCAAAUUUCAAUUGGGGAUAUUUUACUGUUUUUAUCCAAAUUUUAAUUGGGGAUAUUUUACUGUUUUUAUCCAAAUUUUAAUUGGGGAUAUUUUAUUGUUUUUACUGGAACAAACUGAGAGUGAGGUGGCUCAGUCUCCAUGUGAAGCUCUGUAACAUGCUUUUAAGGGGAAAAAAAUAUUUUAUUUGUUUUUAUCCAAAUUUUAAUUGGGGAUAUUUUACUGUUUUAUCCAAAUUUUAAUUGGGGAUAUUUUACUGUUUUUACUGGAACAAACUGAGAGUGAGGUGGCUCAGUCUGCAUGUGAAGCUCUGUAACAUGCUUUUAAAGGGGAAUGGGUAUUUUAUUUGUAUUUAUCCAAAUUUUAAUUGGGGAUAUUUUACUGUUUUUAUCCAAAUUUUAAUUGGGGAUAUUUUACUGUUUUUAUCGAAAUUUUAAUUUAGGAUAUUUUACUGUUUUUAUCGAAAUUUUAAUUUGGGAUAUUUUACUGUUUUUAUCCAAAUUUUAAUUUGGGAUAUUUUACUGUUUUUAUCCAAAUUUUAAUUUGGGGAUAUUUUACCGUUUUUUAUCCAAAUUUUAAUUGGGGAUAUUUUACUGUUUUUAUCUAAAUGUUAAUUGGGAAUAUUUUACUGUUUUUUAUCCAAAUUUAUAAGUUGAGGCAGGUCAUUUUAUAAUUAUUUAGGAAAUGAGGGACUUUUUACAUUAUUUUAUCCAUUUGGGUGUGGAGGACAAAUGGAAUAAUUUACUUUUAAGACCAAAUUUUAACUUGUACAGGAGACUUAUUUUUUUAUCUUUUUUUCAGAUAAUGUUAAGCCCCCAAGUCAAAUCAAAGACUUAAAAACUGGUACUCCAAAAGGAAAAGAUAGGUGACCUACUGUGGGCAUUUGUCUUGGUGAACUAGCACCUUAAAGUCCAGCUAACCCACAGGCCGGUUGGCUAGUACAAGCAGACAGGUAUUUUAAAUACCAUUUGGCAUUUUUAAACUUUGGCAUUUUUCAUUUGGCUUUUUGUUAUGUGUUUUUGAACUAUUUGGAUUUUUAUACCAUUUGGCAAUUUUCAUUUAUGUUUUUUCAUAUUUUGCAACAUGUUUUGUAAUCAGCACACCAAAACACUUCAAAAUUAAGAGUUGGAUAUAUACUUUUGGCCUCCAUAAUGUUUAUCAAUCAAAAUAGCAUUCUAUUUUCAAAUUUACAUUACACAAUUUGGCUUUCUGUAAAGUUGGCUGUUAAUCGUUUGUACGGAUGCUAUGAUGACCAUUAUGUGUAGAAAAUAAGACUACAUUUCUAAAAGUGGCUCAGGUUCAUAUAUUUAUGUUUGAUAUCAAUCAGUUCUAAAUUUCCUUCACAUUUCUAAAAUUUAAGAUCUUCCAUAUCUGGUACAUCUUAUAAUAUCUUAUUCAUCUACUAACCAAAUUUUCUCAUAGGGACUUAACACGAAGCAGAAGGGGUAUAGGGGUAGGUGGUUAAGGUGUAAUGAAUGUCAAAGGGAGGGAGAAAAAUAAAAUGAUUGAGAGAGUGAGGGUAUAUGAUUGUGAGUGGAAUUUAGAGAGGGAGUUAAUCUGUGAGAGAAUGUGAUUUCAUAGUAAGGGUAGGGUGUACUUGAUUGGAAGUGCAGUUUCUGUUUUGUCUUGUGUAGUUUCUGUUUUCUACAUCAAUCUGAUAAGUUUAAAUAUUGAAAUUACUGUCGUCUAAAAGUUCAGAUUAACAGCCUUU